UGUGUGUGUGUGUGUAAAUGUCAUAUUUGUAAAAAAAAACACUAUAUAAUUGCUGCCGUCUGUGAAAUGUUUAUUGUAGAUAGGUGCUCACUGCUCAGACAUCAGACUCAGGGUCGGAGAUGGACCGUAAUAGUCUGUCACCCGAUGUGGAUUAGAAUUCAGAAGAAAGAAGAAAAGGAGUCCGGUGCUGUCUGUGAUGUUGAAUAGGUAAAUGGCUUACAGUAGCCCUACAAAAAUUCCCCGUGUGGACGGAGAAGAAUUUUCCCAACUGAGAGAUAAGUUCCGCUUAGUAGCAUAUUCGGCAUUGGAUCCUGCAACACCCAGAGGUCACGGAACUCGGAGUUCUUGUGAUGAGGAAAUUUGGUGGCAUGGAUUCGGAGAUAAAAACGUUAAGAAGAGAUUUGGCCAAAGCAAAACAUAAGCUAAACAACAUGGAAACAGAAUUGGGGGCAGCAAAGGCAGCUCAGGAUUUUUUGAGAAAUGAUGUUCUUAACCCUGAGGAGGAAGGAGGUUUCGUUUUGAGAAAUGAUGGCGUUAACUCUGGGCAGGUGGAAGGGUCUGUUGAGGGUGCCAUAAGGACUGUGACAGAGGAAGCAGCACAUUGAACUUCCAAAAAUAUUUGUAUUUUUGUUUGAAAAGUUUUAUUCAGUUUGUUAUUGUAAUUAUAUAUAUAUAUA